rnacentral:rRNA from 1 species
UACGAAGGGGGCUAGCAUUGCUCGGAAUCACUGGGCGUAAAGGGUGCGUAGGCGGGUCUUUAAGUCAGGGGUGAAAUCCUGGAGCUCAACUCCAGAACUGCCUUUGAUACUGAGGAUCUUGAGUUCGGGAGAGGUGAGUGGAACUGCGAGUGUAGAGGUGAAAUUCGUAGAUAUUCGCAAGAACACCAGUGGCGAAGGCGGCUCACUGGCCCGAUACUGACGCUGAGGCACGAAAGCGUGGGGAGCAAACAGG